CCAGGCCAAGGGCUCAGACUUCCUCCUGGGGAUAAUGGGAAGGAGAACCGCAUGGCCAGGUUUUUGCCUUAGUGAGGUCCCAGAGGGGGAGCCUGGAAGGACCACUUUCUUCUUUUGGUCCUUCGGACACCCAGAGGCUCUGCCUCCCACAUCCAGCCUCCCUCCCCAGGCUCUGGGAGGCCAAGCUUCAGCCCCUCUCCUGUGCUGCUCCUUCUCCCAGAGGACUGCAUCCGCCCUCAGCACUUCAAGGCCUGCAUGUCCCCGCACCUCUCCACUCCCUGGGCUCACUCGGACCUCUCUUCUGAACUCCAGACUUGGGGAUCCUGCUCCCCUCCCCACUUCUGCACUUGGGGUCUAAUGGGACCUCAGCGGAACACAAUUCCUCCUGCCCUGACAUCAUAGUCCCCGCCUGGGAGGCCUCCUGGAUGACUCCUCUCGCCUUCUCCCUUCCCUGGAAGCAGCCCCUGGCUCAACCUCCACCUCCAUGCUGCCUCGGACCACCUGCCCCGUCCAGCUGCCAUCACCUGCCAGGUGACCACAGCAGCCUUCACUCAUCCCCAACUCCUCCACCUUCCACUGCCGCCCCCAUCCCCCAUCCCAGUCUCCCCCAGCAGCCAGAGAGAGGUCCUUCUGAAGGGUGACGUGGACCAGAACACUGCUUUGCUAAAGAGCUCCAACAGCCUAUUGGGUUACUGGAAAUUACCCCAGGCCCUAGGGGAGCUGGCCCUGCCCACCCUGGUGUCACCUCCCUCUGCCCUCCUCCUACUGACUGCACCCACCCCCUCCUCCCUGCUGGCCCUGAACCUGCCAAGCUCACUCCUGUCUUAGGGCCUUGGAAUUGCUCCUUCUGCUGGAACAUUCCUCCUCCAGCUGCUGACUGGCCCCCUCCUUUUGUGGAGAGGCCAGGCCCAGUCUCUCUCCACUGAUGAGGCAGCUGCUCUGCUCUUUCUCACAGGAGGUGUCAGCUCCACGGUUGGUUUGCUUUGGACAAACCGACAAACCAACAGUAUCCCCUAGAGCUCAGUGCCUGUUUGCUGCCCAGCAGGUUGUGAGCACUCACUUUAGUUGAGCCCCUGAGGGGCAAGGGCAAGGGCAGAGAGGAUGGAGUCCAGGAGCUGCAGGUGCAGUCACCUUCCCCUGCACCUCCCACACAUGCAUAGAGGGUGGCUAGGCCGGGCCACCCCUCGCGUCCUCAUCACCCCUGAGCCUUUCCAAGGAGGCAGCUCCAGGUGUCCAGCAAACGCCAUUUGACCACCCAGAAAGGAAUCAUUAUCAUAGGCUUAGAGCUGCUUUAGUAAUUCCUUUCCUCUCACAUCAAGGCAUCGCCUUUGAACAACCUCCUACGAGAAAAACAUAAGGCUGUGGAAUACCAGGAACUGGGAUUCUAGGUAAAAAGUUCUAGAAGGAAGCCUCGGUGCCAGAAUCCACAAACACACAGAGCAUUCCGCAGUGAGCAGCACCAGUGAUCCCAUCAGAAGCCUGCUUUCGUCAUUGAAGGUUGCCGCAGACAGCGAGGCAUCAAAAGCCAGGGGAUCCAGAGAAAACACAAAUGGCCAAGAGAGAAACUGGGGGAAAAGCCAAAGGGUUGAGAGCCAAACCGUCCAGAUGCUCCCUGCCUGCGGUGUGGCACAGAGAAAGCCCCUUGAGAUGUGGAGCAGGUGGCCUCACUGCCCUCCCGGCCGGCUGGACCAGACCCCUCUCCACAGAGACCCUCACCCCAGGGGGCUGGGCAGGAUGGACACGGUACUGACCAGGGACUGCAGGAUGGCGUGGUUGGUGGCGUUCAUGCAGGAGCCCAGCGGGAAGGAGCACUCCCCCUCACAGUAAUAGGCCGAGUAGCCUUGGGGGGCGAUGACCCAGUCCUAGGGGACAUGGGAGAAGAGUCACUUCUGAUCUACAGGUGGUGAUUGUUAUUUCAGAAACAAGGAGAGUCAGCAAUUACCAGCCAGCCAAGGUCCUGGAAGCUGACGUAGAGCUCGUGCCGACGGCAGACCUGCUGCCCGUGGGAGCCGUGGACGUCAUCUGCAGGGACAGAAGGGCAAGGUCUUUUCUGGGGUUCCUGCUCUGUGCAGCUACUAUGGGGUACCAAGG